GUAAAUAUAGUUUAAAAAAAACAUUAGACUGUGAAUCUAAUAACAGGAGAUUAAUCCCCUUAUUUACC
rnacentral:tRNA from 1 species